GGGCUCGUGGUCUAGACGGUUAUGACACCGCCUUUACACGGCGGAGGCCCUGAGUUCGAAUCUCAGCGGGCCCA
rnacentral:tRNA from 1 species